rnacentral:lncRNA from 1 species
UAAAUCUUUUAUUUUUGAAGAAGCCUAGAUUCUUUUCCAACUUGAUUCAGAGUGAACUUGAGUGGGCUUAAAUCCAUGAACCCAAUUAAGGGCCCAGCUCUCAUUCUUUUGGAAGGGGGGGUCACGCUUGCAGUGACUCAUUUUGUUCCUUUCUAUUUUCUCUUGUCUUGAACGUGCACGGCAGAAGGAAGUUCUUUCCUUUCUCUUCUCCUUUUCCGCGAGCAGUGGCGAGGCGAUGAUGGAGCGAUGGUGUUACGAGUUCGUGACGACUAAGUGAGGACGCUGGCCGUUCGGAUUCGCAGUGCAAGUUCCUUCCCCUCCACCUUCCUCUGUUUUUCGUUUGAGCUUAGGGAUUUUUCCUAUUUUCGUAUAAGGACGCAGGUUGGGUGUGAACGUGUUGCGAGGAAGGCCGGCGCUGCUGCUGAGUGAUUCGUGUUCCGAUUUCGCACUUUAGGGUUCCUGUGAUUUCUUCUGAUUUGAGAUAGAGGGUUCAUUCGCUUUGAAUUAGGGAUUUGUGUUUUGUUUCUGUGUAUGGGGAUGGCGUUUCUGGUUCGUUUUGGGUUAGCUUUCUCGUCGUCGUUUUGAGGGCAACGGCAACAGUUACGCGUGGUGGUUGGCAGCGAAGUCGUGGUGGUUGCAGCUAGGUUGCGGUGGCAAGCUGUGUUGGACUGCUGGGCUUGCAGACUAACAUUGGGUUGUGGUUUGGACUGACAGAUGAGUGUUUCAUCCUACACCUCCAACACUUCAUCCUGCACCUCCAAAAAUUCCAUUUUUAACCUUCUGACAUCUUAUCUUACAUUCUUUUUACUUUUUCUCUCUCUUAUUAAAAGCAUUCUACAC